UUAUGUCAGUACGAGAGAGAGUUCUUUAUUUCUGAACUGUAGGCCAGAGGCCCAUAGUACAAGUAAAAAACAGUCACAAUGGGUGUGUGGUACAAGCGCGUUUGCGUUUUAACAGUGCAUGGUUUAUAAACGUAGCAAUAUUCUGAAGUAGCUGUACAUUUUCUGUUGACAUUAGUAUGCUGAAUUUGUAAGAUGUGGGACAGGAUGUGUACUUAGAUGGUAUAUAAUACUUUCUUAUGUCUUCAUACUGUGGACAGAUGAG